GAUGAACGCUGGCGGCGUGCCUAAUACAUGCAAGUCGAGCGAACAGACGAGGAGCUUGCUCCUCUGACGUUAGCGGCGGACGGGUGAGUAACACGUGGAUAACCUACCUAUAAGACUGGGAUAACUUCGGGAAACCGGAGCUAAUACCGGAUAAUAUAUUGAACCGCAUGGUUCAAUAGUGAAAGACGGUUUUGCUGUCACUUAUAGAUGGAUCCGCGCCGCAUUAGCUAGUUGGUAAGGUAAAGGCUUACCAAGGCAACGAUGCGUAGCCGACCUGAGAGGGUGAUCGGCCCAACUGGAACUUAGACACGGUCCAGACUCCUACGGGAGGCAGCAGUAGGGAAUCUUCCGCAAUGGGCGAAAGCCUGACGGAGCAACGCCGCGUGAGUGAUGAAGGUCUUCGGAUCGUAAAACUCUGUUAUUAGGGAAGAACAAAUGUGUAAGUAACUAUGCACGUCUUGACGGUACCUAAUCAGAAAGCCACGGCUAACUACGUG
rnacentral:rRNA from 1 species